rnacentral:rRNA from 1 species
AUAUAACUAGGCGGAGGAAAAGAAACUAACCAGGAUUCCCUCAGUAACGGCGAGUGAAGCGGGAGAAGCUCAGAUGUAAAGCCUUCGGGGAUGCCAUCUGGAGAAGCUAGAUUAGACUACAUAGGCGGGGCAAGUCAGUUGGAACACUGCACCGAUGAGGGUUACAGUCCCGUUUACCCCCGCUCAAAUAGUCACUUUCAGCUUUCUACGAGUCGUGUUGUUUGGGAUUGCAGCACUAAGUGGGAGGUAAAUUCCUUCUAAAGCUAAAUAUUGGUGGGAGACCGAUAGCGCACAAGUA